CCGGCGCACGGUGAGUAACACGUAUCCAACCUGCCGUCUACUCUUGGACAGCCUUCUGAAGGAAGAUUAAUACAAGAUGGCAUCAUGAGUCCGCAUGUUCACAUGAUUAAAGGUAUUCCGGUAGACGAUGGGGAUGCGUUCCAUUAGAUAGUAGGCGGGGUAACGGCCCACCUAGUCUUCGAUGGAUAGGGGUUCUGAGAGGAAGGUCCCCCACAUUGGAACUGAGACACGGUCCAAACUCCUACGGGAGGCAGCAUG
rnacentral:rRNA from 1 species